GAUUAUAUUGUAUGCUGUGAUAAUUUUAAUAGAUUUGCCGUUCAUUAUUUAAACCAUUUAUUCCUUAACAUCUCUAUGUAGUAAGACUGAAGUUAAUGUGCAAUUGUCCGUCCAUUUUAUGAUAUUUAAGUACAAUAUUUGCAAUUAGAAAUGUAAGGUAUCUGUGUCAUGUUCUCUCCACAACAGAUAUGGGGAUCUUUCAGAAGUUUGCUAGACUUUCUCUGAAGUCCACAUAUAUUUGGUCACUGUGCCCACAGUACAGCACUGCUCUCAGUGUAGUCGGCAGAGCUCUGAUAGUGCGCUCCAGCCAGCUGAUUCAGCAUCGAUAUGUGCACAGCAGAGGGUUUGGGAGCCAGUCCAGCCAACCCGGGUGCUGCCCCACCACGGUUACCCUUCUCCACGGUCACACAGGAAGCCCUUGCUUUCUUUAGAACACUGCUGCCUGGAAGAACCAUCACUGAUACAGACCUGCUGAAGUCCAGCGAUGUAGACUGACUUAAGACAGUGGAAGCAGAAUCUGGCGGUGUGUCCAAAUUGAGGAAACAGGUCUGGUUGGAGGAAGUGUCCCUGUUUUUGAUGAGAUCAUCCUUUCCACUUCAUUAAUGAACCAAGUCAUCACAUUCGACAACAUCUCAGGUAUCCUCACUUGUCAGGCAGGCUGUGUGUUGGAGAACCUCUUAACUAUCUAGAGGAAAGAGACUUCAUUAUGUCGCUGGAUCUAGGGGCGAAGGGAAGCUGCCAUAUUGGAGGGAAUGUGUCCACUAAUGCAGGUGGUCUCAGACUGCUGCGCUAUGGGUCGCUUUGAGGGACACUUCUAGGGCGGGAAGUGGUGAGGUCCUCCAGUUUAACAGAAAUGAACACCAACAUUAGACGCUUUUGUAAGGAUGAAAGAACCUGAGAUACUUUGAUCUCCAGAGAAACAGACAAUACAAACAUACGUGGGCAUCUUCGAGACCUUGCAGGAGACCUUUCCCUUCUGGCCAUUUGUUUCAUUUUAAAUCCCUUCACCCAUGCUUCCUUCUACUCAAUCAGCUCAAAAUGAUUACAUGAAAUUGUCAAUGCAAGUGAACUUACAGUCAUGUCUGGUAUCAUUUGAAAUGUCUCAGUGUAACUAGUACAAUGGUCUCAAUCUUACAAAAGUAGAUUAAAAGAUUAUACAGAUCCUAAGAGUUAAGAUAUAUUUUGCCUACUGUAAUAGGAGUGCCCCUUCCCAGGGUCCUCCAUGUUCCCAUUGAGUUG